GACGAACGCUGGCGGCGUGCCUAAUACAUGCAAGUAGAACGCUGAAGAGAGGAGCUUGCUCUUCUUGGAUGAGUUGCGAACGGGUGAGUAACGCGUAGGUAACCUGCCUUGUAGCGGGGGAUAACUAUUGGAAACGAUAGCUAAUACCGCAUAACAAUGGAUGACACAUGUCAUUUAUUUGAAAGGGGCAAUUGCUCCACUACAAGAUGGACCUGCGUUGUAUUAGCUAGUAGGUGAGGUAACGGCUCACCUAGGCGACGAUACAUAGCCGACCUGAGAGGGUGAUCGGCCACACUGGGACUGAGACACGGCCCAGACUCCUACGGGAGGCAGCAGUAGGGAAUCUUCGGCAAUGGGGGCAACCCUGACCGAGCAACGCCGCGUGAGUGAGGAAGGUUUUCGGAUCGUAAAGCUCUGUUGUAAGUCAAGAACGAGUGUGAGAGUGGAAAGUUCACACUGUGACGGUAGCUUACCAGAAAGGGACGGCUAACUACGUGCCAGCAGCCGCGGUAAUACGUAGGUCCCGAGCGUUGUCCGGAUUUAUUGGGCGUAAAGCGAGCGCAGGCGGUUUGAUAAGUCUGAAGUUAAAGGCUGUGGCUCAACCAUAGUUCGCUUUGGAAACUGUCAAACUUGAGUGCAGAAGGGGAGAGUGGAAUUCCAUGUGUAGCGGUGAAAUGCGUAGAUAUAUGGAGGAACACCGGUGGCGAAAGCGGCUCUCUGGUCUGUAACUGACGCUGAGGCUCGAAAGCGUGGGGAGCGAACAGGAUUAGAUACCCUGGUAGUCCACGCCGUAAACGAUGAGUGCUAGGUGUUGGAUCCUUUCCGGGAUUCAGUGCCGCAGCUAACGCAUUAAGCACUCCGCCUGGGGAGUACGACCGCAAGGUUGAAACUCAAAGGAAUUGACGGGGGCCCGCACAAGCGGUGGAGCAUGUGGUUUAAUUCGAAGCAACGCGAAGAACCUUACCAGGUCUUGACAUCCCGAUGCUAUUUCUAGAGAUAGAAAGUUACUUCGGUACAUCGGUGACAGGUGGUGCAUGGUUGUCGUCAGCUCGUGUCGUGAGAUGUUGGGUUAAGUCCCGCAACGAGCGCAACCCCUAUUGUUAGUUGCCAUCAUUCAGUUGGGCACUCUAGCGAGACUGCCGGUAAUAAACCGGAGGAAGGUGGGGAUGACGUCAAAUCAUCAUGCCCCUUAUGACCUGGGCUACACACGUGCUACAAUGGUUGGUACAACGAGUUGCGAGUCGGUGACGGCAAGCUAAUCUCUUAAAGCCAAUCUCAGUUCGGAUUGUAGGCUGCAACUCGCCUACAUGAAGUCGGAAUCGCUAGUAAUCGCGGAUCAGCACGCCGCGGUGAAUACGUUCCCGGGCCU
rnacentral:rRNA from 1 species